rnacentral:tRNA from 1 species
GAGGCUUUAGCUUAAUUAAAGUGUCUGAGUUGCAAUCAGGAGAUGUAUGUAUAUACAAGUCUUG